AGCAGUCAUAAACACUUAUUUACUUUAAUGAACUACUAAAAUAGUGAUUUUGUUAGACAGCAGCUUUACACUUUAUUGACUGACUGAUCCAUUCAUCCUUCCAUCCCUCCUCAGCCUUCCUCUCCUCUGAAGACCCAGUGAGAGUGGAGCUCAGUCAGAGAGCUGUUGAGGGACUGGUUAGGAUGAACACCUCUACAGCCAGAGAGCUUAUUAUCCUCGAAUUCAUCCCUGAAGUAUUCCAGUCCCCUGUGAGAACCAUGGGAUUUGGUGGCGGAAUGUUCGCUGCCAUAGCGAUGGAAUAGGAGAUUUCUUUGCCUUCAGUCAUCGAGACAUCAAUUGUUGUACAACUUCAUGGGUUGUGGGCCUUUAACCAUCUGUCUGACUUUGUCGUUCACACGGGAGAGAGACGGGACAAUCGUGGAUCCUCUGGAGAGCCUCAACAUCAUGAUGCUGACGAGGCAGAGAAAAGUCUCUCCAGACCAGAACUCCUCAAGAAACACCAGCAGAGACCCACAGAGAAGACAUCUAAUUGCUGCUCUGGCUGUGGGAAAAAGUUCAACUCUUCAAUGAAAUGUAAAAUACAUCAAAGAAUUCACACUGGAGAGAAAUAUUUUGGCUGUGAUCAAUGUGGGAAGAGUUUUACUUCAUCUAGCCAUCUGACUAUACACAAGAGAACACACACAGGAGAGAAACCUCAUAGCUGUGAUCAAUGUGGGAAGAGUUUUACUUCAUCUGGCCAGCUGACUUUACACCAGAGAAGACACACAGGAGAGAAACCUUAUAGCUGUAAUCAAUGUGGGAAGAGAUACACUGAUAAAAGAUAUCUGAUUAAACAUCAGAAAAUACAUGAAGGAGUUGUUUCAUGAUAUCAAUGAAAUAAUGUCACAAUGUAGAAUGUUUUAACAUUGUAGAAGGAUUAUUUUUUAAAUGUCACAAUGUAGAAGCCUAAACGUUUGUCCCCUGUUCUAUUGAUUUCAACAUGAUAUGGAUAUUAGCCUCAAGGGAAAGAUCCAGGCUCUGAAUUGAAAGAGUACUAUUUAUGAGAUUUAACAAAAAGUGACUAACAAAAAAAGAGUUGUGUUCCACUUACCACGUUGGCCACCCACUUGAAUCAAACAUGCAUCACAACACAAUGUAGCUUGCUGUUUUCUAUAAAUUGUCCUCUAACCAGUGAUGUACACAUUACUCCCAGAUUCUGUGUGGUUUUUGAGCAGUUAUUUUUAACAGGACGUGCAACCUCAUCCCCCUCCUCUCGCACAAAUUAUUUUAGCAUGAUAUCGAUGAGUGAUGACAAAUAAGUGUAGCAUUCCUUUGUUUAGCGACCCCUACAUUUAAAUGCAUCACUCCAAAAUGUAGCUGACAGUCUUCUGCGGGUUGUCCUCUAACCAGUGAGGUGAAAGAUCUCUCAAUUCCAUGUGUUUUUUUAGUUGUGUUCGUUUCAACAUCACGUACAACCUGAUUUCCCCCCUAAUCGAUAUCAGUGAUGUAUUGCUACUUGUCAAAACAACAGCGUUUCUGGUGCUUGUGCAGUUUAUAAGGAGCUUGUUUAAAAAAAAUACAAGUGAUAUGAUUAUUGUGGCAGAUGUUUGUUGAUAGUAUAUUUUAGGUUUUCAAUAUUUCACGAACUGUUUCUGGAUAUAUUUAUUUGGACACAUAUUAACUGUGUUUUGACUUUCCCACCAAAAUGCAAUCGAAAAUGUUGUUGAAAAGAAAACAAUGCCGACUUCCAAUAUAUGUCCGGUUGUAGUCGAGAGUUGAAAAGAUGUCCGGUCGUUUUUUUCAAUGGAAAAUAACUUAAUUGAUAUCAGUGAUUUAAUUUCAACAUACUUGCAGCCAAAACACAUGGACACAGUAUAAUAAAUUGGUCUAUAAUCAAUUUGAUUAACAAUCCUACAUCACUCCAGUUUAAUAUCUUGACAACAUUCAAGUGCUAAUUGUGUUUAUUCCACUUCCGAAGAAGCAUGUUUCAAAUCCCCUCAUUUCAAACAUUCAGCCUGACAAAAGAUACAUGUUUUAUUAUUCCAUGCCUCACCAUUAAGUGAAUUGGUGGGUGUCUUUUAGGUCCCAGGUGUCAACUUUCAGUGGACACCCCCAUAGUGUCUAUCAGAGCCCCUCCUAAAAAAACAAUCUUAUAUUUUGGGUUGGAUGUUGCAUCCAAUUAAUAUUGUAAUCAAUGACAUUUCCUUAGAAUGCUCAUUAGUCUUUCUGUUGAUAUUAUUCCGUUUUUUAUCCUCUCAUGUUUGUUGUGUACUAAAUAUUUCUGUUUAUUUUAAUUGUAUUUUCCUGUGAAGCCAUUGUGUUGCAUCCAUGUCUGAAAUGCGCUGUAUAAAUAAAGCUGGAUUUGAAUUCAACAAAACAACCCAAUGACCGACCAAUCAA